GAGCGCCGUAGCAAUACGGAGCGGCAGACGGGAGAGUAACACGUGGGAACGUGCCCUUCAGUUCGGAACAACCCAGGGAAACUUGGGCUAAUACCGGAUACGUCCGUAAGGAGAAAGAUUUAUCGCUGAAGGAUCGGCCCGCGUCUGAUUAGCUAGUUGGUGGGGUAAUGGCCCACCAAGGCGACGAUCAGUAGCUGGUCUGAGAGGAUGAUCAGCCUCACUGGGACUGAGACACGGCCCAGACUCCUACGGGAGGCAGCAGUGGGGAAUAUUGGACAAUGGGCGCAAGCCUGAUCCAGCCAUGCCGCGUGGGUGAUGAAGGCCCUAGGGUUGUAAAGCCCUUUCGGCGGGGAAGAUAAUGACGGUACCCGCAGAAGAAGCCCCGGCUAACUUCGUGCCAGCAGCCGCGGUAAU
rnacentral:rRNA from 1 species